GGUACAACACAGAGACCGGGACAAUACCAACAUCAGGGGUACGACACAGGGACCGGGACAAUACCAACAUCAGGGGUAUGACACAGAGACCGGGACAAUACCAACAUCAGGGGUACGACACAGAGACCGGGACAAUACCAACAUCAGGGGUACGACACAGAGACCGGGAAUAACUGAAUACCAACAUCAGGGGUACGACACAGAGACAAGGAAUAACUGAAUACCAACAUCAGGGGUACGACACAGAGACAAGGAAUAACUGAAUACCAACAUCAGGGGUACGACACAGAGACCGGGAAUAACUGAAUACCAACAUCAGGGGCACGACACAGAGACAAGGAAUAACUGAAUACCAACAUCAGGGGUACGACACAGAGACAAGGAAUAACUGAAUACCAACAUCAGGGGCACGACACAGAGACUGGGAAUAACUGAAUACCAACAUCAGGGGUACGACACAGAGACAAGGAAUAACUGAAUACCAACAUCAGGGGUAUGACACAGAGACCAGGAAUAACUGAAUACCAACAUCAGGGGUACGACACAGAGACCGGGAAUAACUGAAUACCAACAUCAGGGGUACGACACAGAGACAAGGAAUAACUGAAUACCAACAUCAGGGGCACGACACAGAGACCAGGAAUAACUGAAUACCAACAUCAGGGGUACGACACAGAGACAAGGAAUAACUGAAUACCAACAUCAGGGGUACGACACAGAGACAAGGAAUAACUGAAUAACAACAUCAGGGGCACGACACAGAGACAAGGAAUAACUGAAUACCAACAUCAGGGGUACGACACAGAGACCGGGAAUAACUGAAUACCAACAUCAGGGGUACGACACAGAGACAAGGAAUAACUGAAUACCAACAUCAGGGGUACGACACAGAGACCGGGAAUAACUGAAUACCAACAUCAGGGGUACGACACAGAGACAAGGAAUAACUGAAUACCAACAUCAGGGGCACGACACAGAGACAAGGAAUAACUGAAUACCAACAUCAGGGGUACGACACAGAAACCGGGAAUAACUGAAUACCAACAUCAGGGGUACGACACAGAGACAAGGAAUAACUGAAUACCAACAUCAGGGGUACGACACAGAGACAAGGAAUAACUGAAUACCAACAUCAGGGGUACGACACAGAGACAAGGAAUAACUGAAUACCAACAUCAGGGGUACGACACAGAGACAAGGAAUAACUGAAUACCAACAUCAGGGGUAUGACACAGAGACCGGGAAUAACUGAAUACCAACAUCAGGGGCACGACACAGAGACAAGGAAUAACUGAAUACCAACAUCAGGGGUACGACACAGAGACAAGGAAUAACUGAAUACCAACAUCAGGGGUACGACACAGAGACAAGGAAUAACUGAAUACCAACAUCAGGGGUACGACACAGAGACCGGGAAUAACUGAAUACCAACAUCAGGGGUACGACACAGAGACCGGGAAUAACUGAAUACCAACAUCAGGGGUACGACACAGAGACAAGGAAUAACUGAAUACCAACAUCAGGGGUACGACACAGAGACCAGGAAUAACUGAAUACCAACAUCAGGGGUACGACACAGAGACAAGGAAUAACUGAAUACCAACAUCAGGGGUAUGACACAGAGACCGGGAAUAACUGAAUACCAACAUCAGGGGUACGACACAGAGACCGGGUAUAACUGAAUACCAACAUCAGGGGUACGACACAGAGACAAGGAAUAACUGAAUACCAACAUCAGGGGUACGACACAGAGAC